UGAAAAAGCGCACUUAAGUAAGUAAAAGCAGAGACUAAAGCUCGUACCUUUUGCAUCAUGAUCUAGCCAGUACCCCCAAGCAGAGAGACCUCUAGUUUGAAACCCCGAAACCGGACGAGCUACUCCGGGACAGCCUAUUAUAGGGCCAACCCGUUUCUGUGGCAAAAGAAUGGGAAGAUCCCCGAGUAGAGGUGAAAGACCUACCGAGUCAGGUUAUAGCUGGUUGCUCAAGAAAUGAAUAGAAGUUCAGCCCCAUAAUACCCUUAACCACAACAGUCCUACUUAAAUUAGGCAUAAGGAUAACCAUGGGAGUUAGUCAAAGGAGGUACAGCUCCCUUAACAAAGGACACAACCUUCACAGGAGGCUAAGAAAUACAAUUAAUAAAGGCCACAGGUUUCGGUGGGCCUAAAAGCAGCCAUCCGCAUAGAAAGCGUUAAAGCUCAAACCACAACUUAAGCCUAUUAUAACAUUAAACCACCAACAACGCCCCUAACCUAUACUGAGCUCUUCUAUGCCGACAUAGAAGAAACCCUGCUAGAACGAGUAAUAAGAAGAACGAACUUCUCCCCGCACAUGUGUAAAUCGAAUCGGACCCACCAUCGACAAUUAACGAACCCAACAAAAGAGGGAAGUGCAUAAUUGCCCUACCAGGCCAAGAAAAACACGCAAAACCCAAUCGUUACCCCCACACAGGAGUGCUUAAUCAAAGGGAAAGACUUAAAGAACAAAAAGGAACUCGGCAAACCUAAACCCCGCCUGUUUACCAAAAACAUCGCCUCCUGCCCACAACAAUAUAGGAGGUCCCGCCUGCCCUGUGACCAAAAGUUUAACGGCCGCGGUAUUUUAACCGUGCAAAGGUAGCGCAAUCAAUUGUCUUUUAAAUGGAGACCUGUAUGAAUGGCAUAACGAGGGUUUAACUGUCUCUUUUUUCCAGUCAAUGAAACUGAUCUGCCCGUGCAGAAGCGGGCAUAUUAACACAAGACGAGAAGACCCUAUGGAGCUUUAGACGCCCACCAACUAUGAAAAGCAACCAAGUUAAUGGAAACCCAAAUAACAUAGCCCUGGCACAAACGUCUUCGGUUGGGGCGACCACGGGGGAAAACAAAGCCCCCAAGAGGACAGGGGAAUACCCUGAAACCAAGAGCCACAGCUCUAAGUCACAAAAUAUUUGACCGAAUUAUGAUCCGGCCCACGCCGAUCAACGGACCAAGUUACCCUAGGGAUAACAGCGCAAUCCUCUCCCAGAGUCCAUAUCGACGAGAGGGUUUACGACCUCGAUGUUGGAUCAGGACAUCCUAAUGGUGCAGCCGCUAUUAA
rnacentral:rRNA from 1 species